GUGACGUCACAGUGAGCUGCGCCCUCCCUUCUCCUUACUUUUUCCUGUGUCAUUGAACACAACUCGAGACUUUCGAAACCUCCCACUCAGUAUCGGAUGAAUAACACAGUUUGAUGUUUUGCUUGUUCUGCUGACGGACACGUUAAAGACGUCUGCGCUCCCGUUUCUGUGCAUGUCCAGCAUGAGACAACUGGAAUUCAACCACAUUGAACACCGACUUCAGGGACAGACGAGCCUGAAGGACACAGCUGUGAUGACCAUGUUCUGUCUCUUAUGGCAAAGCAGAAAUAUAAAACACUGGGUUCUUAUCUAAAGUGUAUCAAAUCAGAUCUCCACCAUGUUGCUGCUGAGG